rnacentral:rRNA from 1 species
GACGAACGCUGGCGGCGUGCUUAACACAUGCAAGUCGAACGAAGUGGCGCACGGGUGAGUAACGCGUAAUCAACCUGCCCUUCAGAGGGGGACAACAGUUGGAAACGACUGCUAAUACCGCAUACUGAAGGAGGGGUUUGCGUCUGAUUAGCUAGUUGGAGGGGUAACGGCCCACCAAGGCGAUGAUCAGUAGGCGGUCUGGGAGGGUGAACGGGCAAAUUGGGACUGGGACACGGCCCAGGCUCCUACGGGAGGGAGCAGUGGGGAAACUUCCGCCAUGGACGAAAGUCUGACGGAGCAACGGCUCGGGAGUGAUGACGGCCUUCGGGUUGUAAAGCUCUGUUAAUCGGGACGCGGUACCGGAAUAGAAAGCCACGGCUAACUACGUGCCAGCAGCCGCGGUAAUUC